rnacentral:lncRNA from 1 species
CGAUUACAAAAUUAUACAUCAAUAUAAAAUUCACCAAAGUUGCAAAGUGAGAACUCCAACGAGUAUCAACACGUCGCUUGAGACUAAUUUUUUGAUUUAAACCUUUUCCACUAACAAUUCUCAAUUUUUCAAUGCAUCCAUAACCUUGAUUCUUUGUCUUUCGUGAAGCAUGUCAUUCUGUUUGCAAGAUCCUCCAUCAUUUAUUAAAGUGAAUAUUAAGCAAAAAGAGAGCAAACUUGAAAGUGACAUUUGGCAAUCGCAACUAAUGUAAAUUGUAAUUGAUUAGAAAAACAAUGUACAUAAAAUGUAGAUGUACUUUCCUUUAAGAUCAAACUUCGAGAUCAAAAACAUCUUCUUGCAUGUUGCUAGCACCAUCAUAACUUUAUCCACAAAAUCUUGAAGUAGUAAGUACAUGUUCGCAAAAUAGAUCAUCUAUGACCAUUUUCAGUGAUAUCUCUAUUGUAGUUUUAACAUGAACAAUAGCCAAUAAUCGCUCAACAAUAUUUCCAUAUUUGUUAAAACUACAACCAUUUGUACCUUAUUAGAUAUGUCACUGGAUUCAUCAACAAGAAUACCAAACAAUUCAUCUCCAAG